rnacentral:rRNA from 1 species
AAACGUACGCUGGCGGCACGCCUAACACAUGCAAGUCGAACGAAGUAGCAAUACUUAGUGGCAGACGGGUGAGUAACAAGUAGGUAUCUGCCCCUUUGGCCAGGAAUAACACGAGGAAACUUGUGCUAAUACCGGAUAAGUCUUUACGGAGAAAGCUUUAUGCACCAUUGGAUGAGCCUGCACUUGAUUAGUUUGUUGGUGGGGUAAUGGCCUACCAAGACUGUGAUCAAUAGCUGAUUUGAGAGGAUGAUCAGCCACAUUGGGACUGAGACACGGCCCAAACUCCUACGGGAGGCAGCAGUGGGGAAUCUUGCACAAUGGAGGAAACUCUGAUGCAGCGAUGCCGCGUGAGUGAAGAAGGCCCUUGGGUUGUAAAGCUCUUUCGUCGGGGAAGAAAAUGACUGUACCCGAAUAAGAAGGUCCGGCUAACUUCGUGCCAGCAGCCGCGGUAAUACGAAGGGACCUAGCGUAGUUCGGGAUUACUGGGCUUAAAGAGUUCGUAGGUGGUUGAAAAAGUUAGUGGUGAAAUCCCAGAGCUUAACUCUGGAACUGCCAUUAAAACUUUUCAGCUAGAGUAUGAUAGAGGAAAGCAGAAUUUCUAGUGUAGAGGUGAAAUUCGUAGAUAUUAGAAAGAAUACCAAUUGCGAAGGCAGCUUUCUGGAUCAUUACUGACACUGAGGAACGAAAGCAUGGGUAGCGAAGAGGAUUAGAUACCCUCGUAGUCCAUGCCGUAAACGAUGUGUGUUAGACGUUGGAAAUUUAUUUUCAGUGUCGCAGGGAAACCGAUAAACACACCGCCUGGGGAGUACGACCGCAAGGUUAAAACUCAAAUGAAUUGACGGGGACCCGCACAAGUAGUGGAGCAUGUGGUUUAAUUCGAAGAUACGCGCAGAACCUUACCAACACUUGACAUGUUCGUCGCGACUCUAAGAGAUUAGAGUUUUCGGUUCGGCCGGACGAAACACAGGUGCUGCAUGGCUGUCGUCAGCUCGUGUCGUGAGAUGUUGGGUUAAGUCCCGCAACGAGCGCAACCCUCACUUUUAGUUGCCAUCAUUAAGUUGGGCACUCUGAAAGAACUGCCAGUGAUAAGCUGGAGGAAGGUGGGGAUGACGUCAAGUCCUCAUGGCCCUUACGUGUUGGGCUACACACGUGCUACAAUGGUAUCUACAACAGGAAGCAAGACUGCGAAGUUAAGCAAAUCCCUAAAAGAUACCUCAGUUCGGAUUGCACUCUGCAACUCGAGUGCAUGAAGCUGGAAUUACUAGUAAUCGUGGAUCAGCGUGCCACGGUGAAUGCGUCCCCGGGUCU